GCUUAAGUCAAUUUAAUAGUGCGAUAAUUUUUGUAAUUAAAAAACAAAUCAACCCCCAAAUUCCUCUGGCAGACUCUUCCCUUUUCAUCCGAAAGGAUUGGAGGGAGAUUCGAUCUGACAUAUUUCAAGAGAGGUUUGAUUUUGAAUUUGAUAACAAAUGGGAAUAGUGUUCACGAGGCUAUUUUCGUCGCUGUUUGGCAAUAAGGAAGCUCGGAUCCUUGUAUUGGGGCUUGACAAUGCGGGAAAAACCACUAUUCUUUAUCGGCUUCAGAUGGGUGAAGUUGUUUCCACUAUCCCGACAAUUGGGUUUAAUGUGGAAACAGUGCAAUAUAAUGGCAUUAAAUUCCAAGUCUGGGAUCUAGGUGGCCAGACUAGUAUCAGGCCAUAUUGGAGAUGCUACUUUCCCAAUACUCAAGCUAUAAUCUACGUUGUUGAUUCAAGUGAUACCGAUCGAUUGGUGGUUGCAAAAGAGGAAUUCCAUGCUAUAUUAGAGGAGGAAGAAUUAAAAGGCGCUGUAGUCCUCAUAUUUGCAAACAAGCAGGAUCUUCCCGGUGCACUUGAUGAUGCUGCAGUAACUGAGGCCUUAGAGAUGCACAAGAUUAAGAACCGGCAAUGGGCUAUUUUCAAAACUUCUGCCAUAAAAGGAGAAGGUCUCUUUGAGGGCUUGGACUGGUUGAGCAACACACUUAAAUCUGGAGGUGGCUAAAUAUUUUUCAGAGAAAGUGGUCAAUUGCUGUGUUUUGGUCCAGGAUGGUCUGAGUAAAAUCUGAUCACGAGCGAUCAUGAAGGAACUGUUUGUGUUGUUCCAGACAAAUGGGGAUCAUCUUGAUCUCUGCCCCUACUUUGUUAUCUACUAGCAUGUUGCAUCCUUUUCUACUCUUAUGGCAUGUUCGGUACAAAUAAGCAGUUUUAGAAAUGAAAAACAAAAAAAGAAAAAGAAGAAGCUAAAAUCUGAUUUAUUAUAGUGUCUAAGAUCGUCCAGUAAUGUAACUGAACACACA